UUUCACCCUUUAUUUGGAUCCUAUUGGCAGGAAAUUAAAAAAGGGAAUUAAGAAAAAAAGUUUUAAUUUAUUCUAUAUUUUAUUUAAAUAAAUUAUUAAAGUAAAAAAGGAAAUAUUUUAGUUAAUAUUUCUCCGCCUUCUUCUUUUCUCUUUAAUUCUAUACUCUAUUUUUCUCUUCUCUCAAUCUCCGUAAAUCCAAACAAAGGGUCAGAGAUUUGCAUGAAUUCGGUGAGAUUUGGGUGGAUGAGGAUUAUCAAUUGGGUGAGAAGCAACUUGCGCAGAAGGGUGGGUUGCAGUUUCCCGUCGAGAGGAUCCCCAGAUUUCUUAAGGAGGGAAAGUAUACCGAGCAUUUUGGUGCUGGAGCUCCUAUAUAUCUCUCUGCUGUCCUCGAUACCUUGCUGCUGAGGUGUUGGAGCUUGGGCAUCUGGCUGAAAGCGGGUGCGGUGUCAAGCAUCAGCUUUAAAAGUGAGCUGCAGAUAUUGAAUAUCAAUUGGUUUCAAAACCAGUCGCAUGGAAAUGUUGAGGAACGCUUGCCACUGGAGUAAGUUUUUGGGCAACUAAGAAGUAAGAACUGACUUUCAACUGAAGAUGCUGAAGUUCGAUUGAAGAUUUUUGGCCUGAACAAACUUGAAGAGAAUCUAGUAAGAGAACAAGUUUUUGAAGUUCCUCAGUUUUACGUGCAAUUCCUUAUCAUGGUAAAUUCUUGAAAAGACAGCCAUGGAGAACUAACUGCUAUAGACUUCUGGUUGUUGUCUCAACCCUAAGAUCAGGUCCAGUGUAGGAAUUUAAUGGUGGAAACUGGAGAGGCUGUGUUUUGCAUCUGAGAAUAAAUUUAGUAAUCCCUGUGAUUCAACUAGAUUGUGGAAGUUAAAUUUAUUCUUUUGUUGCAGGUUCUUUCUUUUUUCUGUCAUUGAAUUAGCAGUUUUGCUGGGUUAUUUUUGUGGAGCCAAUAUGAGUUCCACUGGUCCUUCCAUGGGUUCUGAUUAGUUUAUUUCCUCUUGCAUCAUUUUCCAUUACUUAAUAAAAGAAGCUUCUUGGUUUGUAUGUGUAGCUAUGCAAAAGUUAGGCAAAUUUAUAACUGUAAUGCAUUCCAAAAUAAUUUAUGUGCAUAUAUAUACACAUGUGCUCACACUUCUCCUCCCUCAUUAAAUUCUACUUUAACAUCAUUUCAAGUGGUAAAAAUGCUAGAAGGGCAUUUGAAUUUGGAAGGACCUAUGCAAAGGUAAACGCCAAGCUACUGUUGUAUGGCUACAUGGUUUAGGUGAUAAUGGAUCAAGGUAACAUUACUUUACCAUUGCUUUCUUCAUGUCUGAUAUAUUAGUGACUUGUGCUGCUUAUCAUUCAUAUCCUGUGCUCCUCUCUUUGAGUUUUAUCAAUGUUAGGUGAAUAGAGCGUAGUGGAUAAAGAACUAACACCUAAGUAGAAUGCCCCCUCCCCCUUUCCUCUCUCUCUCUCUCUCUCUCUCAAACUUUUGAUCUUUUGGACUUAGUCAAUGUUGGCAUCAGUUAUUUGAUUAAGACAUUUGGGAUGAUCUUUUGUUGAAUAAGAAAUAGGAAUUUGUACCUGAUUUAAAAGUCCAAACUGCAUCUUUUAUACUUGCUUUCAUGUAAUAUUCUAUUGCACUUUGGAAACUGAAUGAUCCACGUUGUUUUUGAUAUGAUAUUUAAAUGAUUCCUAUAUGUCCAUUUCUUAAUUCUUAUUCAGAAUAAUAACAUUUUAGGAUUCAAAUAAAGUCUGAUUUCAAGUGCCAAAAAUUUUAACCAAUCAUUGUUACCCUUCCAUUUUAUUGCUGAUUGCAACAUUAAGGUUUAUGGAAACUGAUAUUGUGCUCAUGGUUGGUCCUCAGUCCUCCAUGGUAACCUUUAUUGAAAUUGAGCUUUGACUGCCUCUAUUAUCAUAUUCAGCUAUGGACCCAAUUCCUUCUUCACUUCAGUUCCCAUUCUUUGUUAGGACAUCUUAGAAUGGCACCAAAUAUAGCCACUUCUAGUUCUCUCAGCCACCUGCAACCUGCUUUAAAUGGACAUACUACAUUUUUUCAGUCAAUUGCCUUUUUUUGUGCUUAACAGUUCUGUUCAUCCUUUAUCUUUAUGGGUUUCAAUACGUUCAAUUUUCUGGGCACAAAGCACCUGUGUGUACAUAUAUAUAUAUAUAUAUACACACACAUAUGAGGGUUUGCCGGGAUUUAAUUAGUGUAGAUCUAAAUGCUCACAAUUAUACCUUCACUUCGUACUUCAUAUCUAUUGUUUAAUUUAUCUGCAUGUUAGAAUAUCGUUUAUCGCUCAUGGCUUUUUGCUGUUGUACACUGAUUAUUCGUUUAUUGCUAAAAUUUAAUUCAGUGUGUCCAAAGAAUGAAUUCUAGCACAUUCUCUAGAUUCUUUCGGUGUUUAAAUAUAAAAUUUCCCACCAAUUAGUUCCCCUUUUUAUUAUGAUAAGUAGGUGUCCACUUUUGCGUUUUUGUGUUUCUUCCAAGAGCAAGUUUAAGAAAGAGUGUGUUCAUCGGGCAAAGUCACCAUGAGAGUAUUUUGGACUCUGGUGUUGAUGAUUUUAAGUAAUUGAGUUGUUGUAAGUGGGGCUAAUAAAAGACCAGAAUUUGUAAACAUUGGAGCUACUUUGGCAUUCAAUUUUGCUGCUGUUCAAUUCUGCUCCAUGGAAAUUAAUUAUACAUUAGUUUAUGUUUAUGUUUUCUUAAUCUUAUUUAUAAUGAUUAUAUAAACUAUAGUACAUUAGUUUAAAGAGCAAAAAUAUUUAUAUUUCGUGGCACGGAUAUAUAUAUAUAUAUAUAUUCUUUAAUGACAGUAGUAUAGAUUGUUUUUAGCAUAUUAUCAAUUAAGAGUUUGUAUUUUAUGAAUUUAUGUUGUUAAAGUAUUUAUAAAAAAUAAAAAUAUCUUUUACAUUGAAUUUAUAAUUUAAUUAGAAUUUAUUUGAAUUAGACGUAAAUAUUUAAGUAAUAAUAUAUUUUUUAUGCAAAUAUUGAAUAAAUUUAAUUAUAUGAAAAAAGGUUUUUAAAAAAAUGAAAAACUAUGAACAGUGUCAGGGAUCAUAUAUAGAGUGGUGGAGAGAAUUUGGCUCAAAAUGCAAAAGUUGACCAUACUGAUUAAUUUUAUUUUAUUUUCCGAUUUUGAUAUUUAUCUGUUCAGUUUGAUUUUUAUUUUUUUAACUUUUUAAUUAUUAAAAAAAUUAAAAAACCCAAAUCGAAUCGAUAUAAUUUUAGUUGGCACAUUUAUUCGUCUGGAAUAUUACUUUUUGUGGUAAUGUGUUUUUGUUAAUUCAAUUCUUUUAUUGAAUCAGUUUGAUUUAAUUUUUGUAAUAUUAAUUAUUUAUUGUUUUAUUUUUUUAAUUUAAUUUUGAUUCAAUAACAGAAUUGCUUACCCAUAAUUAUAUAUGUUUGGUAGUGCUUGGAAAUCCUAACCACAGUAGUUAAGUUUUAAUCUUCUUUCUCUUAAUUUUUAGGGUUGUUUUAAAGUUAAUGUAAAGAUUAAUAAAAUCUAAAGUUUAAAGUUAGAUUUAAGUUGUCGAGAAUAGUUUUAGUUGUUUAAAUUCUAGAAUGGGAUAAUGGACCUAGGAAGAGAACUUUAGGAGCAAGUGUUGAUAUUUGGGUGUUUAAACCAUAAGUUUUAGAUUUUAGACGAAUUGUGAGAAAUUUCAGGUUCAGUGGCUAAAACAUGGAAGUUUGGUUGCCGAAACAUGUAAACAGUAACGUAAAUAGUGUAUAGAAAGUUAGGUCGCCAGACAUUCAAAUUUUGGCCCCCAAACUUGCUUUGCCAAUGCAAAUGUGUUUUUAAUUAAAAUUGUUUAAAUCUAAAACUAAAUGUCUUAUCAAAUCAAACCUUUUCUUGUAAACAAGAGUUAGGACAUGAAGGGCCAAAAAUCAAGAAUCUAAGAGUCAUCAGAUGAAAGUGUAAGAGUUGACACCAUAAGGUGAAACUCUAUUAAAAUAAAUGCUCCUCUAUGCAUACACGUGCAUUCAUGCAUCCUGACCUAUUUUAUCAGAUAUAAAUGCAUCCUUUGGUUAAUUAUGUAAAUAUUUUACGUUUAAUUAUGUAAAUAUUUUACGUUCACAAUUACGCUGUAUAAUUGCUUAUGUUGUUCUGGUAGUUCAUGGAUUACAAAGUGAUGCCAAAAGAAAAAAAGAAAUACAUGCAUGCUAAAUGGACUCACAAACUCCUUGAGGGAAAUGAUCCGGUGUAUAUUCCAAGAUGAGGUGGUGAGAUCCACAAGGCUCCUUGAGGGAAAUAAUCUAGUGUUUAUCCAAAGACAGAAGGCCUAGAAAAGAUGGGGAACCUGGUAAAGUAAUUACGUGUUUCUAACCCUAUUUAUUUGAUAUGAUAUGUUUAUGAAAUGGCUGAAGAAUCACUGAUGACAUGAAUUGCCUUGCUGUGAAUUGUUUAUGCUGUGAAAACUUAUGUGACUACUGCAUAUUCAUGUACUUGUAUAUAAUUGUUUACAUGUAUGUUUUAUUCCUUAAGUAGACUUUUACUCACCGAGCUCUCAACUGACUCCCCUUUUUUUGUCUCCACCUUUAGAGACGAGUAUAGAAGAUACAAUAAAUGGUUUUGCUAGCUGAGUUCUAGAGGUUAUUGCCUCAAUUUUACUGUACAUUUUGUGGAACUUCUUUUGUAAUGACAUGUAAUUUUGCUAUUGUAGUACUAUAUUUUGCCACCCAGUAUUUUGUAAAAUUAAAAUGUAAAUAUUGUUUUAUGUUAAUGAAAGUAUUUUCAUGAAUAA